AUAUUUUUGGGUUGCAUGCCCAAGGCAAUGCUUUUUGUAGAUUGAGAUGGAUUGAUCUUCGCUAUCGUGCCUCCUCCUUGUACCAGUUGAUGCUGGGGCAGUGCUUAAUAUGAGUUUUCUCCUGCCCCAGACAGCUUCGAGGUUCCCAUCGAUCGAUUACAGAGGUUUCUACCACUGAACUUGCUUAUGCUCCCCUUUGAUCGAGUGCUAUUUCUAUAAAGAAGAUUGAGUAGGAAAAUGUUGA
rnacentral:lncRNA from 1 species